rnacentral:rRNA from 1 species
GUCUACAGCCAUGCUACCCUGCACAAGCCCAAUCCCGUCUGAUUCCGGAAGCUAAGCAGGGUAAAGCCUAGUUAGUACUUGCAUAGGAGACCACCUAGGAAGACCAGGUGCUGUAGGCA